rnacentral:rRNA from 1 species
GUGCCAGCAGCCGCGGUAAUACGGGGGGGGCAAGCGUUAUCCGGAUUUGCUGGGUGUAAAGGGAGCGUAGACGGCAGUGCAAGUCUGGAGUGAAGGGGGGGGGCUCCCCCCCCGGACUGCUCUGGAAACUGUACGGCUGGAGUGCAGGAGAGGUAAGUGUAAUUCCUAGUGUAGCGGUGAAAUGCGUAAAUAUUAGGAGGAACACCAGUGGCGAAGGCGGCUUACUGGACUGUAACUGACGUUGAGGCUCGAAAGCGUGGGGAGCAAACAGGAUUAAAUCCCCUGGUACUCCCCGCCGUAAACGAUGAUCACUAGGUGUGGGGGGUAAAAGAACCUUCGGUGCCGCACCCAACGCAGUAAGUGACCCACCUGGGGAGUACGUUCGCAAGAAUGAAACUCAAAGGAAUUGACGGGGACCCGCACAAGCGGUGGAGCUUGUGGUUUAAUUCAAAGCAACGCAAAAAACCUUACCAGGCCUUGACAUCCCCCUGGGUGGGUGGUAACGCAUCCAGCCUUUCGGGGCAGGGGAGACAGGUGGUGCAUGGUUUGUCUUCAACUCGUGACAAGAUAUGUUUGGGUUAAUUCCCGCAAC